UACGUAGGUGGCAAGCGUUGUCCGGAAUUAUUGGGCGUAAAGCGCGCGCAGGCGGCCUUUUAAGUCUUAUGUGAAAGCCCACGGCUCAACCGUGGAAGGUCAUUGGAAACUGAAAGGCUUGAGUACAGAAGAGGAAAGCGGAAUUCCACGUGUAGCGGUGAAAUGCGUAGAGAUGUGGAGGAACACCAGUGGCGAAGGCGGCUUUCUGGUCUGUAACUGACGCUGAGGCGCGAAGGCGUGGGGAGCAAACAGG
rnacentral:rRNA from 1 species